GGUGAUAAUGAUGAGGUUGAGGAGGAGAUACAGGAUGAUGUAGAUAAAACGCAAGGAGAAGAAUCUAGACGUGAUGAUGAUGGAGAGACAAGGAGCACGACGAGUGAGGUUCAGCCCUUCUGUAGGUAUAUGAAAUUGACAUGUUGUUAUAUUUUGUAAUCGUGUGCAAUAUAAUUUUCCAAGAAGAUAAGCUCAAUCUAAACACCCAGAGACAAUCAAUCUGGUGUUUAUUAAGGUUCCAAGAAAACAAUUGGACUUUAACAGUAAUAGCAAAGUUGCGUUUGUAAGAACAAUUUGUUUCAAGUAAUUCGUUGAUAAACAUACGAAGAUGCAUGAUUGUAUAUUUGGUAAAGGAAUAGCAACAAUCAGCAUUGACUCGACCCAGAACCACUCUCAGUGAGGAUAAUAUUAGGCCUUACUGAUACGAAAAUGCAAUAAUCCAUAUAAUUUAUCAGCUCACGUAACUAUGAACUUAAAACCACGAAAUUGAAUACCUUUAGAGGACGCAAUAGUCCAACCACGGAUGUUGAGUGAAAAGUACAGUUCCACGGUCCACGGAUGGGCCAUCUACGAUAUAUCUCGAUUACCUCAAACUCACACGUUCAGUUGCUUCAGCUCGAAACAUAGUUACAGCAGACGUUGACGGACAGUAACAUUAACAAAACGUAUAUGGUAUUAGUAGCAGUAGCAGUAGAAGCUGCAGGAGUGCUGUGCAGCCAGACCGAGAGAUUUAACAGCGUCCGAGCCUUCCUUGUAGCUGAGAUCCCUCAUUCCAUCACACGGUUGCUCAUUCCUCUCUCUUCUUUGGGCGAGGAGGUUGACUCGAAUCUUGAGCUUCAGGAGAAAAUCGUCACGACAUUGGUCAACAUCUCGAAUAUUGAGGAGAACAGAACAGUAAUGGCGCAAAACCCUCUUGUGAUCUCACUACUUACAAAGUCUUUGAAGCAGGGCAAUGAUGACACAAGAAGAAUCUCUAAACUGACUUAAGGGUCACUUUCACUCGUUGAUUCUAACAAGAUCAUCAUGGGAACUCAGCAGAAACACUCAGGGCUUUGAUAGAUGUUAUCAAAGAGGGUGAUCUCUCAG
rnacentral:lncRNA from 1 species